rnacentral:rRNA from 1 species
GUGCCAGCAGCCGCGGUAAUACGUAGGGCGCAAGCGUUGUCCGGAAUUAUUGGGCGUAAAGAGCUCGUAGGUGGCGUGUCGCGUCUGCCGUGAAAGCCCAUGGCUUAACUGUGGGUCUGCGGUGGAUACGGGCAGGCUGGAGGCUGGUAGGGGCAAGCGGAAUUCCUGGUGUAGCGGUGAAAUGCGCAGAUAUCAGGAGGAACACCGGUGGCGAAGGCGGCUUGCUGGGCCAGUUCUGACGCUGAGGAGCGAAAGCGUGGGGAGCGAACAGGAUUAGAUACCCUGGUAGUCC